CUUUUAAGCCAAGCAGCAGGAGUGAAAAGAACAAGCAUUUAUUUAUCACCCUUCACUAAUUGCUACCAGCUGUAUUUACACCAACCCUCCUGGGACCCAGAGGGUGCUUUCAGCCUUCUGCCCCCCGUGCUUGUUCCCUGGUGCUGACAGGGUGGCGGUGGGGCUGCAGCUCCACAGGGACCCAACGGCAGGGUGCAAAGGGAUGGGAGAUCCACCUCUGUGCUUUGGGGCCCUGGGACAGAGGGCACUACAGCACUCCUCGAGGAGCCAGCUAUUUCCACAGCUGUUUUGCAGAAGCUUCAGAGGAAGGAGAUCUGGCCAAACGCCCUCCCAGGAGGACAAGGAACAGCCCAGAGCACCCUUGGCAGCCACCAGCCCUGCAGCACAGCAUCAUCCACAUCAUCCCGCCUGCUCCUGCUCUGUGUCCCCAGCCAGGCUGCAGAAGAGGUGGUGCUGCAUGUCUGAGACCCCCGGGUUUUUGCUCUCCUCCUGUUAGCACUGCAGGCAACCCCAGCAGGCAUUCAGUGAGUUUUUUACUGCAGGAUCUCCCAAGGGAAGGUCUGAAUCUCUUUAGUUACAGCAGUUGUGGAUUUUACAUCUCGCAUAUCAAAGCAAGGAAAGGAAGAAAUAACAGAAACCUGGAUGGAGUCACAUCUGCGCUAAGCAAUUGGGUUUACGCUAGGCACCUGGCUGCAUCUUUUUAGAUGCAAAGAGUAAAAAGCCACCGGGCUUAUUACACCAAAUGAUGUUAUUCUUUUUUGAGGAGCUGGCUUCGUGGCCCUCGCUGAGCUCCCGGCAGCAGCAACACACGAAGUGCAGGAAGCCCAGCAGCCAGCACGCUGCUCUGAAUGCUAAACACCCUUUGCAUAACCCAGCCUGAGCCUCCUUCGAGAUGCUGGAGGUCCUGGUGCGCUCAGCCCAAGCUGCUUUACAACAGACUUCCUAAAGCACACCCAGGCUUUCUCCAGCAGCUUUCCAGCCAGCCUCCAUCCACCUGGAAAUCCACCUUGCUUGGGGGAAGCAAAGGGAGUGGGAGGGCUCCAUCCCUCACCGCAUGAACCUGGUGAACAACCUAGCAAGCACUGCUCCUGCUGUUCCUCAGCUCCCAGGUAGCUCUCUGACACUCGAGAUAAGCAGGACAGGCUCCGUGGGCUGCAGAGUGAGAUGAAGAAAGUCAAUCGGCAAUAAAUCUGCACCAACGAGAGUAAAGUCUUCCCAGAGCAACAUGCUGAGCACAAAGCAGCAGGUAGGGGAUCACAGCUCAGCCCGAACUGGUGCUUCACUCUAGAGGUCUCUGGUGUCUUUAGCCUCCAAACCUGCGUCCAUUGACUCCGAAUUUUAAGCAUAUGCUCCACUACAAAGCAGUUUAAGAUGCAUCCAAGAAGGACGUGCUGCCAAGUGGGAAGGGGAGGAAAAAAGGCUCAGCCUCAGGCUUGCUCCUGGUGCAGCAACCUCUCUGCCUCUAUCGUGCCGGAGCUGAACACACUGAAGCUGCUCUCAGCCAUCAGGACGGUCAGUGACUGUUACCUGAAUUACCAGCCCCAGCCACUCUGUCCCUAAAUACUAUUCAUGAGAUUCUCAUCUAAACAGAAGCUGAUACAAGCUAGAAAAAAGCUAUGUGGGUGAGGCAAUGAUCCCUCUCCAGGCUGGUGGCAGAGCCUGCCUGGGCUCUUCUGAAUCUUGGUGUCUACCUGGAGGGGGGAAGAGAUUUCUGCCUCUGGCAGCUCCUCAGCAGGUCUCGGAGCAAGGUCACCGCUGGGCUGCCCUGCAGACACUCACUCACAGGGAGACAGCUCCUUCUCUCCCAGGCACAGGCAUUGCUUCAGCAGGAGGCAGCAGCUAGAUUACACGAGAUAAUUUACUGGCUGGCAUUAAAACACCUUGUUUAGCCUGGAAGAAAGAUGUCUUCAUUCAGCCUAAGCCACAUUAAGACAGACUUUGCAGUAAGUUUUGCACAGCUGCUCACCCGGGCAGCUGGAGGAAGGCUGCCCCCGAGCCAGCAUUGCCCCCAGCAUCACGCCCUUGCUGGAAAUCGGGAGCAACAGCAGGGACUUGGGGAGUAAAUGGAUUCUUUUCCAGUCUAAAUCUUCCUCUCUUUAGUAGAACAGAUUUAAUUUUCUAGCUUUUCUGUAUGAAUUACUCGUUACCUUGUUCCUGGUCGUGGGUUCCUGGCCUACAGCUAUCAGAAGACUGAGAUGAAUUUUGCUGCAGCUCAAGCAGCUGAUGCUCAAUUUUAACUUAAUGCUGUGCUGUAAGCAGAGCCAGGACCGAAGCCAUUGAGUUAAUAGUAUCCUGAACGAGACCAGGAACAGGGAGAAGAGAUGUAAUGGGAUGCAGCGAGGAAGGAUAUUUUAAGCACUGGUUUAUCUGAUAAAUUCUGUAGUUCUACAUCCUGUGCUCCACUUUCCCUGCAGCCCAUCAGCAGGCAGACGAAAACAAUUUUUCCAUAGCAUAAGCAAAAGAGAAGCAAUCAAAACCUUGCUCCCAGUGCAAGAUUCAGCUGCACAGGUGCCACUUCCAUAACCUUUGGAGACCUUCAGAAUAAAGGAAUUGCAAAAGACUAUAAAGAUAGUUGAAGAUAAAGAUAUAAUCCUUGUCCAACCCCCUUUUUGAUGCUUGGAAGCAUUGGGGAUUCAAUCAGGCACCAGCAUGGGAGGAUUUGCUCCCAGGCAAAGAAGCAUGAAGCGGUUGUGGCUUUUAGUAGCAGGACCCAGAGGUCCCUGCACACAGCAGUAUUGCAUCUUUUUAAAAAACAAAACAAAACACUAUUGCAAGGCCCAAAACCUUCCUUAUGCCUAGCUUGUGUUUCCCCUCUCAGCAUGUUUUUCUAAGAGCUCAAGCUGAAGGAGCAGAAUUCAGAGGCCACCAGCACUUCCAGCUUGCUCUUGCUCCCUGUGGCUGCCCAGCUGGAGAGCUCUCACCUAGAGCUGCAGGAGAGCUGCUGACAUGUCCCAAGGCACUGCCCUCCUGAACCUAGUUCCUAGCCUUCUUCCACCAGGAUUUGCUCUGGGCUGGUGUUUGUGGAUCGGGAGCUCCUGGAGGCGAUGGACACAGGGACUUACCUCACCUGCAUGAACUGUGACAGCGCUGCCCAGCUGGCACCAGCUGAGGAUUUAGCCUGAGGACCAGACCCUAAACAGUGCGACCCUGAGAGCCUCACAAAUCUGAUCUCUGCAUGUCCCUGACCUGCAACAAAAGGGUGAGAGACCAGAGAGAACCCGGGGUGCAUCCAUCCUCUUCCAGAUUUGCUCUCUGGAGCUCUGUGAGGGAGGUCAGAGACCUUUAGCAUAUGUGGUACUAAGCUUGGAGUGAGGGUGUCCGGGCUUCUCCCCACACUUUAAGCCUGCCACGCGUGCAGACUGUGGCCGUUCCCCUUCCUCUGCAGGCUUCUCGCUGCUCUGCAGCUCAGUCGUUCUGUACCUGCACACAGCAUUAACCCAACCAGAACAUUUUGUUCAGUUACACGGUUGCUGCAUUUUAACAGCAACAGAGGAGCACUUCAGACAUCAUCUAAUGAGCCUUUUUCUACUUUGCAUAAAAACUUGGCAAUAAAGCUUCCAAGGAUGAUAAAGGAGGAGAGCAGCCAAGGAACGGGUGGGCAGGGACAGUGCCUAACGCCCCCUCCUCUCCCUCGUGCACAGGGCAGGGGUUACACAGGGAACCCAGCACUGCACCGGGCAGCCCUCAGGACCGAAUUCAGCUCCCCCAGCCGUGCAGGGUCAGCAUUAACAGCUGCUUUCUGCUCUCCUGGUGCACCCACCUGAGUCCCAGCUCACCUUUUGGAUUCCACAGGAGCUCUCUUCCCCAGCACCACACAUACAGCUGUCCAGUCCAGAGAGGAGACCAGCAAGGCUGGGGGCUCAUCAGGACAUUUGCUCUGAGUGUGUUUUUUCCACUGCCUUGAAAAGACACUGAGCCUACACCUGAGCUCCCUCGGAAAGCCCCAGUUCUUUGCCAGCAAGGCACGAGGCAGCCGCAGCCACCCCGCUCCUUCUGAGCUUUGCCAGGGGCUCCUGCCCUCCUACAGCCUCCUCCUGCCAAUAAAUGCUCAUCGGGGCUGAAGUCUUCCACCACCCGAGCUCUUCCCUUGUUCUGGGAUGCUCAGAGGACUGCUGACUCCUGAACUAACCAUUGUAUUGAAAUAGACAGCCGGUGCAGGAGCAGAAGCUUCUGUGUGCUAGAAGCAGAAGCUGCCCUGGUACCUUUGUAGGGAGUUAGCUCAGGAGCAUCCAGAGCUGCAGGGGCAUCUCAGGGGGAUUUCCACCCACAGCUUGCAAGCCUUUUUCUGUGUUUUAGGACAGAGAAACAUCAAGUGUCCGACACCACUAUGCCUUUCCCCCUCCUUAUUUAUUCUUGUGGUGCCCACAGCCUGGUAGGCAUGGGACGUGUUCUUCCUUCCCUGGGGAAUGGGGUCUGGAUGCUCCCCACACAGUGGGCUUCCCAACAGCACCAGGUUUACUGAGUACUAUUUAGAUUAAUUUGUCUCAGAUCAAUCAGGACUGAAGGUGAAGUUGCAGCUACCAUAGUGAGCUCCACAGCGCUCCUGUCGCCUGGUGUUUGGUGUAGGCAGCGCUCCUUUUGGGGACAAAAUAGAGCAUUUAAGUGGUAAAUUAGAUCCUUGGGAUGCACAGAAUAAUUCAGAGAGAGGCAAGGAGGCUCCUAGAGCUGUUAACUGCUGCAAUUCUGGAUGGCCAUGUGUUUCACUGCAGACAGGAGACUUUGCAAGGAGCAUCGAAUGAAAUGCUAGGGACAGAAACACGAGAAGAAAUCUUUCAGGAUAUCAGAGUUGCCUUUCUCUUGUUCUAACACAGGUGGCUGCGUCCUUCUGACCAGCAGAAAGCUGCAGAGGGUUAUUCUUGUAAAAAACAUCACUGCUACCACCACUGAACUUCCAAGAACAAAAUCAAUUCCCUGUUUCAGGACAGAGAGAUCAGGACUGUAGCCUCCAAAAGGAGGGUUGUCUGUAGGGCUGUACACUCAGUUACCGACCUCGCACACCGCAGAUCUCUCUCCAAGCACCAGCCUCCAUCACCCCUUCCCCCCAAAGGGGAAGGAAGCCCAGCACUGCUGUACGCCGGGUGUUUGCACACAGACAGGAGCUCACCUCUAAGCUGUCUCGAGGAAAUCCUCAGCACUACAGCUAGAGCAAGGACAGCAAACAGGACCUUUUAUUUGAUGUAUAACAUGCCAUGCGUUAGAACAAAUUUGAGAGAAAACACUUAAAGCCCAGAUUUAAGUGGAAAAUAGCCUAAAAGUCAAAAUGGCUAAUGGUCUGACAAGGAACAUGCAGGACUAAUUUAGGACUUCUUUCCUAGGAUCCUGAAUUUAAUAGGCAUUAAAUCAUGUAGGUGCUUUUUGGUGAAGCACCUGUGAUUAUGCUGCAGUGGGAAAUUCUUAGUGAAGGUGAAGCAGAGACAAGGAGAAAAGCAGGGAGAGGAGCUGGUGAAAGGAGAGGGAUGGCAAUGGCCCUGACAAGGGGGGCUGUGCUUGCCAGGACAGCAGGGAUGGAGCUCCUCUAAGGGCUGAUUUUGCUUAAUAGCUCUUGAAUUAUCCUGCUGGAAGGGCAGAACCGUGCAGGUGAAGUGCCCUCCCUGGGCUCCAGCUGGCUCUGCUUGCCCUGAGCAGCCCACCUGGGGCUUCCCCCCUUGGCUCAGGAGAGGUAUUUCAGCUCAGCCUGGGAACCAACUUGUGUUGUGUGUGGCUUCUUGUGCCCAGGGAUGUGUGGAGGUCACUGGCUGUUAUCAGCAGAGCUUCUCUCACCCAGCAAGGACCCGUGGAACACUUAUCAGAAUUAAUAUGCAAAAGUUGCUGCCAAGUACCAGAAGUGAAGAACUCUGCCUGUUGAAACUAGCAACACCCAAAGUCCCUAGUCGAGGGGCAGUCCUUAUUUAAUGCUUCAUGUGAAGAACCUGAGAAGAGCUUCUAUUUUUGUGUGUGCUUGAUCUCCACUUGAUUGUACCACUUUGCCAUGUAAAUCAGCCAGAAGCUCCCAGUAAAACAGCUGUGGAUAACUCGACCAUUCGUCCUUUAGUACAAGAAUUGGUGCAGCCUCACCACGCUGAGACCUCUGUCUCAUUGCGCUGGCAUCUCACCAGGAUUGUGGCUGGACCAUGAAGGUUACUGACUGUGUAAGUAAAGGCUGUGAAGAUGGACUUCUUGCCAGGUACAGAACUGAGCUUUUUCAGACUCUGCUUGAACACAGAUGUCAUUCAGACAAUGGAUUCACAUGUGGCAAACUAAGCUGUGUACACCUGAAAAUACUGCAAAUAUAUGGGCAGGAGUACUGCGAGCCUAAAAAUGAUGGAUCCAUGCACUGGGAGUGGCAAAUUUAUCCCUGGAUGAAUCAGCUGCACUUCCCUCAGGCUUUCUCAUGCCUGCCUCUGGAUGUGCAGGCACGGCUGCCUCCUUUGUAGGCUCGUUGCUCCAGUCUGUUCCUCGGGGUUCACUUCUCUCCGUGUGUCCAUCACCUGUCUGUGUAGUGAUGCUGCUGCAAGGUACAUCUCCGUGGGUGAAGGCAGGUUCACUUCUAUAAAGAUGCCUCCACUGGCAGAGCGAUUCCCUUCUCUGGCAGCAGCUGGAGCAGAAUAAAUGAUCCUAGUUGUAUUUGCAUUCAUGGUAGUAAGAGUGGGUGUUAGUUUGCAUGUGAUUAAGUCUGUGCUCUGGUGUACAGGCAAGACCUAAGGGUUUUAGGCUGUCAUCUUUGUGAGGAGGAUUUAGGGACUUUAUUCUGAGAAUCCCAGAAGAGGCUUUCUUGCUAAGUGGCCUUUAGUGUCAUCUGUAAAUGCCCAAAUGGUUUUAAAAGCCUGGCAUUGCAUUGUUCAAAUGUUUCAGCACCUGUCUGUGAAGAUAAGGUGUGAUUAUCAAAGGCACCUGCUACUACUGAGCCCUUUCGUCUCAGUGGGAAACCCUCUCAAAGCCACUGAAAGCCCCAGGCAUGCAGCCCCUCGGGGUCUGUGCUUUAAAGGGAGGUGGAUACAACCCAGAUAACGGUGCUGCAGCACUGCCAUCCCGUCUGGCUGCUGACCUCCGUGCCUAUCGUCUUUCUAAGCCCAGACACAUUGAUUGCAAAAGGUAACGAAAGGAUCAAUCCGACAGAGCACCUGGAGUGGGGAAAGAGCAAGCUCACGCACACUGGCAAAACCCAAUUGACAAUGUAAAGCCUUGAGUAAGCAGAGAAGUCCUUGCAGGAGCAUUGUUCGGCCUUGAGCAUUAGGAUUGCCAUCAAAAUACUGCUGAAAUCAAUAGGUUGUGUUGAUCCAUGCUGUCGGGGCUCAGGUGAGGCCAAGGGUGAACGCAGAGCUCCAACACAGCCACGGCGAUCCUGCUCAUGGUGCUGAGGGGCCGGCGAUGCUCUGACAGACCGUGUCCUCCUCAAAGUAAUGGCCUGGGUUCCUAAAUCAUGCUGUUAUCUGUGAGACGGAUUUGUAACGUCUUUCUUGGUAUCCCGUGUCUCAUCACCAGCAGGCUGAGGGAAUGGAUUGCUCUUCUCCACCUCCACCAUCAGUUUGUGGCAGCGAGCUGAGCCCUGCUGGGAAGGGAUCGCAGGGAGUUUGGGGAAACCCAUCUUGAGUCCUGUGUUUAUUGACCCGUGUCUAUUGUCCUGUAGCCUUUGGAUUUGGGGCUUUUAAGGAGCAGCAAGGCAUUUUGUCCAUUUAGCCUGCAGGCUCCUCCAUGGGAGAAGAGUGCUGCGGUGACUGGGUGGCUCUGGGGGUGGCAGCAGAGCUAAAUUAAGGUGCUGGAAGCUGUUCUGCAGGAAGAUGCUACGGGAUGGAGUUUUCCUCCCAGAGGGGAGCGGGAGCCUCACCUCUGCAAGCAGGGCUGCCAAGGCUGGAAGAGGGCAACUUCUCCCCCCUGCCCAUUCAGUCUUCCCUGGUGCCCACUCCUCCAGCACUGCAGUGUGCAGCAGGCUUUGGGAUGCCCCAUCUGCCUGUCUCCAUCUGGAUUCCUCCUAGCCCAGAGACCUCUAAAAGAGUCUCCUGAAGAAGGGGGCAGUGAAUGGGGUGCAGGGCAGCCUUCCCGCAGGUCCCAACAGGCCUGAAAACCCAAAUGGGUCACAGGCUGCAUUCCCUCCGAUGCCAAAAUUAACACAGGUCAAUAGACAGCAUGGUACACAUUUGCCCUGGCUCAGUCCCUGGAUGUCUCAGGGCUCUCCUUGGCUUGGAUCUAAUUUCUGACACGAGCUGUAAAUUUGCCCCAAAUUAACACGGAGAGCUGUGGCCCUGAAUCUGAGCUGGAUUGCCAAAGCUGCUUUGUGUGCCUUGCUGACAGCAGCGGUUGGUGCUGCUUGUCCCAUCUGUCUACGUGCAGACUCCAGCUCAACGCUUAGCCUUGUACCAGGGGCAGCUGCUCCGUGCUCCUCACACACCAGGGAGCUUGGGGCUGCCACCAGCCCCUUGCUGCUGUGGUUCGGCUGAUGGAGGGCACCCGGGAAAGGGCUGCACCCCCAGCACCCUCCUGCAGGGCUGCUACAGAUGAAGCACACUUGAGAGCACCCAGGAGACGGCUGGCAACAGAAUAAGCCCUGCCCCAGCCCUGCUGCUGACUCCCUGCCCGCAGAUGGUGGAAAGGCAGCUGGAAAUUUUGGCAAUGUCCUGGAGUUUGAAUUCAGUGGUUGUGUAGAGAAAACUCUGCAGGAAACACCCUGGA